AACGUAGGACACAAGCGUUAUCCGGAGUUACUGGGCGUAAAGGGCGCGUAGGCGGCUUGGCAAGUGGAUGGUGAAAUCCCUCGGCUUAACCGAGGAACUGCCGUCCAAACUGCUUUGCUUGAGGCCGGGAGAGGUGAGUGGAAUUCCCAGUGUAGCGGUGAAAUGCGUAGAUAUUGGGAGGAACACCAGUGGCGAAGGCGGCUUUCUGGCCUGCUCUUGACGCUGAGGCGACGAAAGCUAGGGUAGCAAACGGG
rnacentral:rRNA from 1 species